AUCUAGUCCUGCUACAUUAUACACUACCAAACCAUGACAAAAAAAAAAGAGUUAAUUUCAUACAUGUUCCUGUAAAUAUAAUAAAUUAUAAAUAUAUUCCUACAAAGUUCAAUUUUCAUAUGUUAUUUCUAUAAAAAUUCUUAUAUUUUCAAAUAUGUCCCUCUCGUUUGUUAACAUCAAAAUACUGUUUAUUUUAUAAGUAAAAUGACAUUUUUGCCAUCACAAAUAUAUCCCUCCAAAAAUUCUAACUAUUAAUUAAAGAGGAGGUAAAAAGGUCAAUUCGCCUCACUAACUAGCUAGGAUAAAGUAUUUUAUUUGAAAAUAUCAGAACUUUUACAGAAACAAUAUAGAAAAGUUAAACUUUUUAGAAAUAUAUUUAUAAUUCACUAUAUUUAUAAGAAUCAAUCCAAAAAAACAAAAAACUUUAUCGCCACAUCAAAUUAUAUAAAAUUAAUAUAAAAAUAAAAAUAAAAAACAAACAACGAUAACAAU
rnacentral:lncRNA from 1 species